UCGUGUUUCAAAAAAUAAACUACCCCUUUCAUAUUCUUUCUUUCUCUCCCGAGUCAUCUCCUUCUGAAACUCGAUCUGAUCACUGAGAAUCUACGACGACGAAGAAGGUGGAGGAGGAAGAGGAAGAAUGAGAAUCUCAGGCUACGUAAUCGUUGUUCUAUCUGUAACUAUAUUCUAUUGCGUCGAUCGUAGCAUUCACGCGCGUCCCGUCGUCCUCUCCAACGUCAAUCUCAACAGCGGCGGCGACGAUCCCGGAGGCGGAGACUCCUCUAACUUUGAGGAAUUCGGCGAAUCCGAACCCAAAUCCAAAGAGGAGCUCGAUCCCGGCUCGUGGCGACGGAACUUUCGAUAGGUUGAUGGAGGAGAUAGAGGCGGCUUCUUCAUCCGGAGAUCCGCACUCGCAGUCGCUGAUGGGCUUCGUCUACGGGACGGGGAUGAUGAGGGAGAAGAGCAAAAGCAAAUCCUUCCUUCGCCAUAACUUUGCUGCUGAAGGUGGGAACAUGCAGUCAAAGAUGACACUUGCCUUCACGUAUCAUGUAAUGCAGGUCGUCUCUUUCUUAAUGCAACUUCUGGAUAGCAAGUCAAACUUUAUUCGAUGAGUUGUGUGCCACAAACGUAAGUGACUCCACCAGUGGUACCGAAUACGGUGGAGUCCAGAAGCUGGAGACAGUUUCAUUAGCAGAGUUGAACGCCUACGUUCUAACCUCACCCCACAAUUCAUAUUCAGGACAAUGUCUCCUCCUUCACAUGCACUAUAUGUUUUAACGCAAGUGCUGUUGGAGUUGUGAGAUAACGUGUUGAGAUGAUGGUGGCAAAUGGAGAAGAAUCGGCUGUCUUUGUUGCCUUCGACACAGCUAUCACUAAGCUCACCAAUGCCAGGGCCACAGAGGUUUCCAACCCUAUUGGUUAUGGUGAGCAAGACCCAGCAGAAUAUAACCUCCCUUACUUCCUCCAAGACAUUGUUCGGAAGAGCUACAUUUCAUCUCAAGCUUACAGAGUUAACUUUUCUUUCCUCCAUGAGUUAUUUACUGUCGCCAGAAUCUUUGACCCCAAUCAGAGAAACCCAGGGCCCUCCUUUGCACUGCAUGGUGAGGGCAACAAUCAUGGUGACAAUAUCUCUGGGGAAAAUUGUGCUUCUUGCAAGUACCCUGUCGGUGACUCCUUCUCAAAGGACACUCAUCUUCCUGAAGCUAAUGACCAGACCAUUGGACCUGCAAGUGCUGUGCAAGAAGCGUCAAACACCUACCAGGUGGAGUCCAAUAGUGAGAAUGUUGAUGAUCCACAGGGACCACCACAAAGAAGGCCCGCAAAGGUUAGUUUUCACCAUGGAGCGGAAUAGAGGAACAAAUGUUUCUCCCAUGCAUAUCGUCAAGGCACUCACGUUAUGUUUUUCCAAAUAAUAGUUAUGACACUAAGUCCACCAUGAAAUUAAACAUUUUGCG